rnacentral:lncRNA from 1 species
CCUGGGCCCUAAGUGCAAUAGCCAGGGGAUUACCGCUGUCUAGGUGGCAGAAUAGGUAGCCCAAGUGAGUACCCUUUAGAAGAGAGCACGCUCUAGGGGUCUAUUAUGUCAACCCACUAGCUCUAGUAAUCAACUAUAUGUAAGAACCUCUCUAUUUUCCAAAAUAAGCGGUUGGAUGUAUAGAUCAAGGUAUCAAUCAUAAAACACUACCACAUAAUGAUUCCGUAAAGCUAGAAUAUGUCAUGUGGUGAAAACAUGGCCCAUCAUCACCUUAUCCUCCCAAGUUAUUGAGUUUACAAGUUAUGGUCCCAUUGAAGGAGAUGAACAUCAAUAAUCUUAUGACAUGCCCCAUUACGAUACUUGGCACCAGAAAUGACCAAAGGAACCUAUUAAAUCUAAUGACUAGUUUGUCCAAGCUUGUGAAGAGAAAAAAACAGAAAAU